AUUUCCUUCUCCAGGGGAUCUUCCCGACCCAGGGAUCGAAGCUGGGUCUUCCGCAUUGCAGGCAGAUGCUUAACCCUCUGAGCCAGGACACCCUUAAUAGGGACUCCAGUGACAACGAAACCCCAGGGCCUGGGCUGGGAAGGGGUUUUGGCUAAUUUCUUCUUAGUUGAGAGGACAGACCUCAGCAUCAGUAGCUGCCCAGUGGCCAGCUCUAACCUGCGCAUUGUGGAGGAGAAGGAGCAGGAGGAUCUAUCCCGCUUCUCAGGAAUAGGAGGAGUCUGGGCCCCAGUUUUUGGAAAACCACCCGUCUGAUGGCAGAGACACAGUCAGUCUUGGGGAGCCCUCUAGGCUGAGGCUGGAGGCAUGACCCUAGGUUUGAGGUCAGAGUCUGAUGGGGGAGACAUAACAUUGUUCUGUUUUGGGGAGAUGGGCUCGACAGCCCCUCCAGGACACCAGGUAGACAUGACAGGCCAAGGUGCCAGGUUCAGGCCCAGAUUAGAGGUGCACCAUGGACCUCAGUGCCAAGCAGGGCAGGGCCACUCCACAGCUCCCAGAAACAGUGUCCCAGCUCCCCAGAGCUCAUAGGUGUGGAGUUGCACUUCCUUCUGCCUUGCCAUCCCCAGGAGGAGGGGCUGAGGAGGGGUUCCUGUUGUGGGAAUACUCCCUGAGUGGAAUCAAUGUCUGACUCAGGUCACACUUCCCUUGAUCCCUCACCACCUCUUCAACCUCCAGCAGAUGUUCAGCAGAUCAGUCUCCCCUUCUGCCUUUCACUGCAGCUAUCCAUUCAUCCAUCCAUUCAUCCAUCCAUCCAUUCUCUCCUCAUUGAACAUGCAGUGCCAGACUGGUGCCAGGUCUGGGGACACCAUGGGGACACACACAGAGUCUGCUCUUCUGGAGCUCACAGCCCAGCACCGAAGACACAGAGAGUAUCCAAACAAGGGGCACAGCCUGUGCAAAAGCCCUGAGGAUGACUAAUACUUUCUCACCGGUUUCGGCGAGCCUUUGAAAACCAUACACCAGAUCACAAGACUCCUCUGCUCAUAUCCUGCAAGACUCCCAAUACGUUCGGCCUGAGAUAACAAAGCCCUCUGUGUUCUGGCCUCGGCGGCCUCCCUGCUUCCCUCUUCUCCAGCUAUGCUGGUCUCCUCCUGGUCCCUCAAACACGCAAGCAGGUCCUCACCUCAACACAGAGCAGAGCCCUUCCUGCCCCAUCUCUCUCACCAGCGCAAGGCUUUCUGAGAUCACCCGUCUAGUGAAUGAAUGGAGGAUAGAACAGAAGAGUGACUGAAAGUGGCUGGGUGUGCCUAACCCACAGCCUGCCAGCUAAGGAUGGAUUUUACAGAAGACCAUUUGCAACUGAUUUGAGGAAAGGAAAUGCUAACUUUGAACUUCAAUGAAGCAAAAUAUUACCCUUCUCCAAAAAAAAGGGGGGGAAAAGAAUUCUACUCUUCUCAGUAGUAGAUCUGUAUCACCAAAAACAAAAUAAAAAAGUCCUUGAUUACUAUUAUUAUA